ensembl:lncRNA
GAUCUGUAUGGAUAAUCCCUUGGAAUUUGCAGAGACAGAGCACCUGAGGGAGGGAAGAAGUAAUGAUUGUGCUCUACAGAUUUGGAAGUAGCCUCACCAUUCACAUGGUUGCCAGUACAGCUAAGGCAGCCUGCACGGACCGCUUCUUCAGAGGAAGACAAAGUGACCCAUCAUCUAUAGGACCUUUCAGUCAGGAGAUGUAGACUCUAUUUCCAGUUCUGUUUUAUGACUAUGAGGACGUUGCACAUGCCUUGGCUGUAAUAAGCAGCAACUAUAGCCUGCACAGCACUUUCCAUAACAACACUGGGCUUUCAAUAGCUUGUGACUCUAAAAUCACGCAGACUGAAAUCUUGUAUGAAAUAUAUAUCAGUCACUGAUACAAAUCCUUCAUAGGGAGAAUCCAGCAAAGCAGUUCGCAUGUUCCUAAGAUUAAAGGAGAGAUGUCACUUGCCCAUGUUAUAUUCAUUUUAUAGUUUUUGCUUUGGAAGAUUGCAUUCAUCAGUGCUUUCCUGUUUGGGGAAAUGGGAGAGAAGGGUGGUUUCCUGAUACUAGAGUAGUACAUUCUGCUGAUGCUAGAGGACUUUUGCACGUUGACAACACCUCUGUUUCUGCAUGCUUGGAAGACUUGCUAAAGGUUGAAACUGAAGACUGAAAGAUGUUACCAGGCUACAGGGGCUAAACUAGCCUCUCUCUGAUUGCUUAGAACCCUGCUGUGCUAAUUGGCAUGACAAGGAGACUUGAUCUUAUACUUUUAGUUCUCCCUCCUCUCUUCUUGUUGGCACUCUGGUGGUAUAAGACAGGGACAUUCAAGUCUUGUGACUUGAAGAAAGAGCUGAAACUGGUGGAAAGACAAUGAAACCUGAGAAGAACUGAGGCUGGGGCACAAUGAAAUUUCUGCAGGUAGGUUGCAGUUCUUCUGCAGUGUGAUGGGUUACAUGUAUAUGCAGCUGUCUCUUAAUUUAGGGAUCAGAGUCCAAUUUCUAUUAGCAUGAAGGACCAGGAUAGUGUAGGGCAGUAAACUGCUGCAGUAGAGUUCCCUAAUCUUUGAUGCGGUAACGACUCAGGCAGGAGAGUUCAUGCAGAGAAAGAAAAAGGAAUUUUGCAAGGAAGAAAGUGUUCUCACUGGUAGAUAAGUUCUUAAAACAAGCCCCUGGAAACUCUUUUUUUUUUCUUUUUUUUUCUUUUCUUUUUUUUUAAGAGAAAUAUUAGCCAAAGCUGUUUGGCUCUAGAACUGUCUUAUGUCAUGGAUACAAACAAAUAAACAAUAACUUGAAUUAUUCUCUGCGUACA